rnacentral:rRNA from 1 species
CCUACGGGAGGCAGCAGUGGGGAAUAUUGCACAAUGGGGGAAACCCUGAUGCAGCGACGCCGCGUGAGUGAAGAAGUAUUUCGUUAUGUAAAGCUCUAUCAGCAGGGAAGAAAAUGACGGUACCUGACUAAGAAGCCCCGGCUAACUACGUGCCAGCAGCCGCGGUAAUACGUAGGGGGCAAGCGUUAUCCGGAUUUACUGGGUGUAAAGGGAGCGUAGACGGCAGGGCAAGUCUGGAGUGAAAGGCGGGGGCUUAACCCCGGGACUGCUUUGGAAACUGUACGGCUGGAGUGCAGGAGGGGUAAGUGGAAUUCCUAGUGUAGCGGUGAAAUGCGUAGAUAUUAGGAGGAACACCAGUGGCGAAGGCGGCUUACUGGACUGUAACUGACGUUGAGGCUCGAAAGCGUGGGGAGCAAACAGGAUUAGAUACCCGUGUAGUC